UUGCCUCAGUAACGGCGAGUGAAGCGGCAAUAGCUCAAAUUUGAAAUCUGCUCUUUUUGAGCCGAAUUGUAAUUUGUAGAGGAUGCUUCGGCUUACGUCUCGGUCUAAGUUCCUUGGAACAGGACGUCACAGAGGGUGAGAAUCCCGUUUGUGGCCGCGACUUCAGCCAUGUGAAGCUCCUUCGACGAGUCGAGUUGUUUGGGAAUGCAGCUCUAAAUGGGAGGUAUAUUUCUUCUAAAGCUAAAUACCGGCCAGAGACCGAUAGCGCACAAGUAGAGUGAUCGAAAGAUGAAAAGCACUUUGGAAAGAGAGUUAAAAAGUACGUGAAAUUGUUGAAAGGGAAGCGCUUGCGACCAGACUUGCCCGCGGAUGCUCAACCGGUCCUUCGGCCGGUGCACUCUUCCGCGGUCAGGCCAGCAUCAGUUCGAGUAGCCAGAUAAAGGCUUAGGGAAUGUGGCUCUCUUCGGGGAGUGUUAUAGCCCUUUGUGCAAUAUGGCUCACUUGGACUGAGGCCCGCGCUUCGGCUAGGAUGCUGGCGUAAUGGUCGUAAGCGGCCCGUCUUGAAACACGGACCAAGGAGUCUAACAUCUAUGCGAGUGUUUGGGUGUCAAACCCGUGCGCGAAAUGAAAGUGAACGGAGGUGGGAACCUUUUGGGUGCACCAUCGACCGAUCCUGAUGUCUUCGGAUGGAUUUGAGUAAGAGCAUAGCUGUUGGGACCCGAAAGAUGGUGAACUAUGCCUGAAUAGGGUGAAGCCAGAGGAAACUCUGGUGGAGGCUCGCAGCGGUUCUGACGUGCAAAUCGAUCGUCAAAUUUGGGUAUAGGGGCGAAAGACUAAUCGAACCAUCUAGUA
rnacentral:rRNA from 1 species